AGAAUCUUCCACCAAUGCGCGAAAGCGUGAUGGAGCGACGCCGCGUGGGCGAUGAAGGCCUUCGGGUUGUAAAGCCCUGUUGGCUGGGCGUAAUCCCUCGGGACGAACACCCUUCGAGGCUGAACUCUCCUCGGAGGAAGCACCGGCUAAACUCGUGCUAGCAGCCGCGGUAAUACGAGUGGUGCGAGCGUUGUUCGGAAUUACUGGGCAUAAAGAGCACGUAGGCGGUUGGGUAAGUCUGCUGUGAAAUCCCCCGGCUCAACCGGGGAACUGCAGUUGAUACUGCCUGGCUAGAGUGCGGGAGGGGAGAGCGGAAUUCCUGGUGGAGCGGUGAUAUGCGUAGAUAUCAGGAGGAACGCCGGAGGCGAAAGCGGCUCUCUGGUCCGCAACUGACGCUGAGGUGCGAAAGCUAGGGGAGCGAA
rnacentral:rRNA from 1 species